GAAUGCCUGGAGAGGAAUCAGGCCCUUCCUUGUCCACCCUUGCUUUAAAUUUCUUCAACCAUGCUCUUCAAAGGCCAGAGGGUGCCAUUGCCAGGCAUGGAAAUCUAAAUGGUAGGCAUCUUCUUGAUUUAGUUCGAUCAAGUUAUAUAGAUUUCGGCCAAACCCAACCACCAAAAUGUGAUCACACACCAAGCCAUAUAAUUCAUUGUGUAUCCAAGCUUCGCCACUCCGGAAUUAAGCUGACUCAAGGGAAGGAAGAUAGUUUCUUGGUGGUGAAGUUCAGGCGUGGAAUUAUAGAAAUGCCCACAAUAACCAUUGAUGACGCGAUGAGUUCUUUCUUGCUUAAUUGCGUAGCUUAUGAGCAAUGCCACAAUGGGAGCUCCAAGCACUUCACAACUUAUGCAACAUUAUUAGACUGCCUAGUGAACACUUACAAAGAUGUUGAGUAUUUAUGUGAUAAUAAUAUCAUUGAGAAUUACUUUGGAACCGAUGCAGAAGUUGCAAGAUUCAUCAAUAAUCUGGGUAAGGAAGUUCCAUUUGAUAUUGAUAUGAGCUAUUUGGUUGAGUUGUUUAGAGAUGUUCAUCAGUAUUACAAGAACAGUUGGCAUGUUCAAUGGGCAGGCUUCAAGCAUACUUAUUUUGAUACUCCUUGGUCAUUUAUAUCUGCACUGGCUGCUCUGAUUCUCCUGAUUCUUACUGUGGCACAGACCUUUUACACCAUUUAUGGUACUUACAGAAAUUAGUCCCGUUGAUAUUCAUAUACCUACUGUUUGAUGUAUAGACAGUAACUGUAGUGCGGGAUUAGGGGAAUAGAGACUUGAACCUUAGUAUGUGAGGUGAGCAAUAUGAGCCGAGCAACCUCUAAUUAUCAAAUACAUGUUGUUGUUUACUGAGUUGUCUGAUUCUGAUCCAAUUGUAUCUUUCUAUAAUUAUGCAAGCUUCAUCAGUUUGUUUGUUAGAUAUAUAUCAUCCUCAAGAAAGCAUGUGCCACCAA
rnacentral:misc_RNA from 1 species